GUGGCUGGUGGGAUAUUAUUGGCCAAGGAUGGUAGUAGUUGAUUGGCAAUAGUGGAUGAAAUGAUAGUAUUAAAACAAAAAAAUAAAUAAAUAAUAAAAGAAUAAUUUUUAAAAAAAUUAUGAUUAAAUAAGUGAUGAAAUUUUUUUGUGAAGGUUCGCGAUGUUGAUGGUGGUAGUGCUAGUGGUUUGAACUUUGUAUCGGAUGACCUUCCACUCGCAUUAUGAUCGUUGCACUGUGCUAGUUUAAUGCAAGACAUGGAUGUUGAGGAUGAGAAAUCCGAUGAAGAGUAUAUUGUUGAUGGCCACAAAAGUGGUUCUUCUGACGAUGACAACGACAAUGAGUUUAUACCUAAGACUCCUAUUGGUGGAUCAAUUCGAUUUUUGCUUGCUCCGCAUCAAAUUCCAGAGUUAUCAUCUGUACCUAGUCACUACUAUACAUUGAAUUUGGAUGCGAUCCACGAGGAAAUUUCGUAUUUGAAUAUGGGAACCGAUGAUUAGAACACCGACAAUGGUGUGGAGUUUUGUGUUGGUCACAGAUUCAGGAGCAGAGAGGUAGUGUUGCAAGGCCUGAAGAAUUACUGCAUUCGGAGAAGUGUCGAGUAUCGAGUAGUCGAGUCGGAUCGGUUAACAUACCACGUACGUUGCCGGCAAUUUAUGGAAAGUUGUUCUUGAAGUCUCUAUGUCGUCCUCUGACAGAAUAUGGGAUAUUGGAAGGUGUGUAAAUUUGGUGGACCACACAAGUGUCUGGCCCCUACCAUGUCACAAGAUCACCAACAGUUGGACAGCAACCUCAUAUGCAGAAUCAUCCUGCCACUCAUACAGUCUAGUCCAUCAAUGAUUAUUCCUGUUCUAUAGAGUACAGUGAGACAGAGCUAUCACUUUAAGCUGUCGUACAGAAAAAUUUGGGUGGAAAACAAAAGGCACUUGCACAAAUAUACGAUGAUUGGGAGGAGUCAUACAACAAGGUACCAGGGUUGCUCUAAGCAUUGCAGACUUGUCUCCCUGGAACGGUAUGUGACAUCAGUGCGGUGACGUAUUAUCAUGGCCACUUGAUGGUGAGCGAUUGUGGUCAGUUCGACAAGGUGUUCUGGUCAUACCCUUUAUGCAUUGAAGCUUUCAAGCAUUGUAAGUUAUUCGUUUAUGUAGAUAGCACGCACUUGUAUGACAAAUAUAGUGGAGUGUUGCUAAUUACAAUUGCACAGGAUAGUAACAGUAAUAACCCACAGAGGAUAUUUAGCAAUUGCAUAAUUUGUGUUGCAUUUCAUAUGUACUAGUAGCGUACUAUUCAUUUGAGGUUACAUUAUGUAUCGUUGUUAUUUUGUUUUAUUUAGCAAUCAAACUGCCUAUGUUUUA